UCAAGUGAUUUGACUCCGGUUGAUCCUGCCGGCGGCCACCGCUAUAGGAAUUCGAUUAAGACAUGCGAGUCGAGAGUCGUAAUGGACUCGGCGGACUGCUCAGUAACACGUGGAUAACAUGCCCUUAAGUGGAGGAUAAUCUCGGGAAAUUGAGGAUAAUACUCCAUAGAUCAUGAAAUCUGGAAUGAUUCAUGGUUCAAAGUUCCGGCGCUUAAGGAUUGGUCUGCGGCCUAUCAGGUAGUAGUGGGUGUAACGUACCUACUAGCCUAUGACGGGUAUGGGCCUUGAGAGAGGGAGCCCAGAGUUGGAUUCUGAGACACGAAUCCAGGCCCUACGGGGCGCAGCAGUCGCGAAAACUUCACACUGGGGGCAACCCCGAUGAGGGAAUUCCUAGUGCUAGCGCUUUUUGUGCUAGCUUUUCUUCAGUAUAGAUAGCUGGAGGAAUAAGGGCUGGGUAAGACGGGUGCCAGCCGCCGCGGUAAUACCUGCAGCCCAAGUGGUGGUCGAUUUUAUUGAGUCUAAAACGUUCGUAGCCGGUUUGAUAAAUCCUUGGGUAAAUCGGAGAGCUUAACUUUCCGACUUCCGAGGAGACUGUCAAACUUGGGACCGGGAGAGGCAAGAGGUACUUGAGGGGUAGGGGUAAAAUCCUGUAAUCCUUUAAGGACCACCGGUGGCGAAGGCGUCUUGCUAGAACGGAUCCGACGGUGAGGGACGAAGCCCUGGGUCGCAAACGGGAUUAGAUACCCCGGUAGUCCAGGGUGUAAACGCUGCAGACUUGGUGUUGGAGAUCCUUCGUGGGUAUUCAGUGCCGGAGAGAAGUUGUUAAGUCUGCUACUUGGGGAGUACGUCCGCAAGGAUGAAACUUAAAGGAAUUGGCGGGGGAGCACCGCAACGGGAGGAGCGUGCGGUUUAAUUGGAUUCAACACCGGAAAACUCACCAGGAGCGACGGUUACAUGAAAGUCAGGCUGAUGACCUUACUCGAUUUUCCGAGAGGUGGUGCAUGGCCGUCGUCAGUUCGUACCGUAAGGCGUUCUCUUAAGUGAGAUAACGAACGAGACCCUCACUAAUAGUUGCUACUCCAUCCUCCGGGGUGGAGGCACACUAUUGGGACCGCUGGCGCUAAGUCAGAGGAAGGAGAGGUCAACGGUAGGUCAGUAUGCCCCGAAUCUCCUGGGCUACACGCGCGCUACAAAGGGCGGGACAAUGGGCUCCGACGCCGAGAGGCGAAGGUAAUCUCGAAACCCGUCCGUAGUUCGGAUUGAGGGUUGUAACUCACCCUCAUGAAGCUGGAUUCCGUAGUAAUCGCGAAUCAACAAUUCGCGGUGAAUAUGCCCCUGCUCCUUGCACACACCGCCCGUCAAACCACCCGAGUUGGGUUUCAGUGAGGCUGCCCUUUUAUGGGGUUGUCGAACUGAGAUUUAGCAAGGAGGGUUAAGUCGUAACAAGGUAUCUGUAGGGGAACCUGCAGAUGGAUCACCUCCUACGCA
rnacentral:rRNA from 1 species